ACGAGAUCGACUGCGGAGAUCUCGGCCGGCUACCAUAGCAAAUUGAGGAGAUAAGGAAGAGUGAGUAGCCGUGCGGAUAAGAGCAACGACGAAGAGGCGAAAAGAUGCGAGAGUGAGUGCGGAUUAAGAGCAACGACGAAGAGGCGAACAGAUGAGAGAGUGAGUGCGGGGUGCGAGGUGCGAGAGAUCCAAAGCACAGAUGCUUUCGAUUAUUCGUAGAUUAGCUGUAGGACAAAACGUGUGCGGUAGAUUGGAUAGGGUACAAGGCUAGCUGCGUUAGGAAAUAAAGUGUGUAAUUGUUCUAGCUGUAUAAGUGGUUUUCUUGAUUCGUUUUGAGUGCGGUAAAUUUAAGUGCUAAUUAUUUGUGGUUUAGAUAGUGUGGUUCUAAUUUACGGUUCAUGUGGUGACAGCGGAAAGCAGUGCGUUAUUUAGCCUGUGUGGUGCGUCUUUUCUGACUGGUGAACGGUGCUAUUACCUAGCUAUUAGUGUUAAACAUAGCAAGUAGCAGUGAUAAAGGAGCUAGCAUCAUCGUUGCAAUGGCGGCAGUGAAUGAUCGAGAGAGUCACUAAAAGUAGGGUGUGGUGUAUCGUCAGUGUGGUUGUUUGCCAAAUGUUAUCACAAUUUUUAUAUUUAUUUAAUUGAUUUUUUGUAUUUAUUCAUUUUAUUAAUUGAUAACAAUUAUUGUUGAAUUUUACUAAUUUAUUGUCUACUUUUUAGGUCAUUCGAAUCGUCGUUUAAUAGUUUACUUAAGUUUUGUAUUGGUUAAUUGUAUGUAGUAGAGAUAGAGAAACACAACACGGCACGGACUGAAAGCGCGGAAACACAUGACAUACUGGUGAGCGGCUGCUAAAAAGAAUUAGGCUCGAGGUGACAAUGACGGAUGAGGCCGGUAGAGAGGCUGCGCAAUGGCGGAUGAGGCCGGUAGAGCGACUGCGCAAAGAAAGAAGCGGCAUGACCGGUACAACUCGGAAAUCGGUGAUUCGGUGAUUCGGUGAAUCUUGGAAGGCAAAAAUCUCUAUCUGCGGCUCGAAAACUUGGCGAAAUUUAUGUGAAUGCGUAACGCGAUGAGAUUACGGCGCAUACAGAUACGUACAUUUACACCACAAUGAAAUGUCAGGAAUGGGGAAGAGACAGGAGCAUUGCAAAGGGGCGCUGUUAACAUGUUGGUGCACGAUUCAGCUAGACGAAGGGUUGGCCUGUUUAGAUGUGUUAAGAAGGUUAGGCGUUACCUUGAAUCAUGUACACGGAAAGACAUGAAUUGGCCAUCGUAUCGUCAAAGUAACGUAAUGUCGCAGAAGUUGCGUGGAAGCGUUAUUAGCUCAUGCGUUGAUAGCGAUAUCGUCAAUAAGGCAGAGGUGAACCGAUAGGGGCAACGAACGACUUGUUAUUUGGGAAAAAAAAAAAA